CAUAGAGGUUGCAAAGCGUCAAGAGUAAUACAGUAGAGGAUGACAUCCGUUGAAAUUGUAUGAAAGGGGCAUUUGCCGAAAUCCACACCACCGUCAAUGGAGUGGAUUGGGUCGAAAUCAUAAGAGGUUUCGGACUGUCAGUUUUCACCGGACAGUGAAAACAUGAUGAGCUACG
rnacentral:ncRNA from 1 species